rnacentral:lncRNA from 1 species
CCGCUAUGGUUGCUGUUUGCGGUGGUCUAGGGAGGAAGAAGUUGACACACCUGGUAACGGCUGCUGUCAGCCUUACACAUUCCGGGACUCACACGGUGCUUUGGAGAAGAGGUUGUUCACAAUAUAAACAGGUAUCCAGCAACGAGGACCUGGUCUUUGUGGGAAGAAACAGAAAGAAAUCACGAAAGCAAUUAAGAGAGCUCAAAUAAUGGGGUUUAUGUCAGUUACAUACAAGGAUCCUGCAUAUCUCAAGGACCCUAAAGGUUGUAACAUCAGAUAUCGGGAA